GCCCCCUGGCAGUGGGCAAAGUGACACUUUGUUGGUGGUGUUCUUAUAUCAGUCAGGGGCAGAGCAGGUGGCAGUCCUUUGUUCGUCCUAGCUUGAUGCCUGGCUUGGUGGUCAAAGCUAUUUAUGUCCAGGGGCUGUGC